UUUAAAUGUAAAUUUUUGAACUAAAUUAGUAAUAGAUAUGAUCUUCAAAUUUAAAGAUUUUGGCGGUAUUUUAGUCUAUUCAGAGGAACCUGUUCUGUAAUUGAUAGUCCACGAUUAACUUUACUUAAUUUUAAAAAUUUGUAUAUCGUUGUUUAUAGAAAAUUUUAUAAGAAAAAUAAUUUUUAAUAAAUUUAAUUAAAUUAUAAAUCAAAUCAAGGUGCAGUUUAUAGUUAAGGUAGAAAUGGGUUACAAUAAAUUUAUUUAUCAAUGGAUAUAAAUUUUAAAAUUUUAUUAAAGGUGGAUUUGAUAGUAAUAUUGUUUAAUUAAACAAUAUGAUUAUAGCUCUAAAAUAUGU
rnacentral:rRNA from 1 species